rnacentral:lncRNA from 1 species
UGAAACUGAGGCACAGGAACUUAAGGAAGAGCUAGCUUCUGCAAAGCAAAAACAGGAAAUAUUGAUGGCUGACCAUGAAAAACUAUUAGAUUUAUUGGAAGAUGUCAAAUCCAAUGAAGACAAACUGAAAGGCACUGUUAGAGGGCUCGAACUGAAACUCAAAGCUUCUGAGUAUGAGAAUCAGCAGUUGGCAGAAGAAAUUUCCAGCCUUAAGGUCCAAUUGCAGAAAACAACGGUCCUUCAGGAUGAAAUUUUAGAUCUUAAAAAAACAAUCAGUGAAUCCAAGUUUGAAAAUGAAAGGCUGGAAGCUUCUUUCCAAAUGUUAUCCAGAGACUAUGAAGAACUCAAAGUUGAAAGAACCCUUUUAGCCGAGAAAGUCUCUAACAGUCAGCAAGCUGUUUCCGAGCUAGAUGCUUGCAGACGUAGGAAAGUGGCCCUCGAAGAAAAGGUCCUCCGGCUGCAGGGUGAUUUAACUGCAAGAGAAGCCUUGGGAACUCAGGAAGCUGCACUGAAAAAUGAGCUGGCCCAAAUUAGAAGAGAAAAUAGCCAACUCCAGAGGAAGAUAAAGAAGCUUGAGGAGGAGAAAGAUGACUGCCUGAAGAAAGCCCAAGGCCUUGAAGAGGAACUGAAGCAGAUAAAACAGGAUCAAAACAGCCCCAAGACUGUGAGUCUCUUCUUUAGCAUAACCCUGACCCUCGUAGGUUUAUCAUCAAUAGACAGUUCUUGUUUGGGAUUUUC